rnacentral:rRNA from 1 species
ACGAACGCUGGCGGCGUGCUUAACCCCUGCAAGUCGCACGCUGAAGCUUGGUGCUUGCACUGGGUGGAUGAGUGGCGAACGGGUGAGUAAUACGUGAGUAACCUGCCCUUGACUCUGGGAUAAGCCUGGGAAACUGGGUCUAAUACUGGAUACGACAUGCCACUGCAUGGUGGUGUGUGGAAAGGGUUUUACUGGUUUUGGAUGGGCUCACGGCCUAUCAGCUUGUUGGUGGGGUAAUGGCCUACCAAGGCGACGACGGGUAGCCGGCCUGAGAGGGUGACCGGCCACACUGGGACUGAGACACGGCCCAGACUCCUACGGGAGGCAGCAGUGGGGAAUAUUGCACAAUGGGCGGAAGCCUGAUGCAGCGACGCCGCGUGAGGGAUGACGGCCUUCGGGUUGUAAACCUCUUUCAGCACGGAAGAAGCGAGAGUGACGGUACGUGCAGAAGAAGCGCCGGCUAACUACGUG